rnacentral:rRNA from 1 species
ACGAUAACGGCGUCGAGCGGCGGACGGGUGAGUAAUGCCUAGGAAAUUGCCCUGAUGUGGGGGAUAACCAUUGGAAACGAUGGCUAAUACCGCAUGAUGCCUACGGGCCAAAGAGGGGGACCUUCGGGCCUCUCGCGUCAGGAUAUGCCUAGGUGGGAUUAGCUAGUUGGUGAGGUAAGGGCUCACCAAGGCGACGAUCCCUAGCUGGUCUGAGAGGAUGAUCAGCCACACUGGAACUGAGACACGGUCCAGACUCCUACGGGAGGCAGCAGUGGGGAAUAUUGCACAAUGGGCGCAAGCCUGAUGCAGCCAUGCCGCGUGUGUGAAGAAGGCCUUCGGGUUGUAAAGCACUUUCAGUCGUGAGGAAGGUAGUGUAGUUAAUAGCUGCAUUAUUUGACGUUAGCGACAGAAGAAGCACCGGCUAACUCCGUGCCAGCAGCCGCGGUAAUACGGAGGGUGCGAGCGUUAAUCGGAAUUACUGGGCGUAAAGCGCAUGCAGGUGGUUUGUUAAGUCAGAUGUGAAAGCCCGGGGCUCAACCUCGGAAUAGCAUUUGAAACUGGCAGACUAGAGUACUGUAGAGGGGGGUAGAAUUUCAGGUGUAGCGGUGAAAUGCGUAGAGAUCUGAAGGAAUACCGGUGGCGAAGGCGGCCCCCUGGACAGAUACUGACACUCAGAUGCGAAAGCGUGGGGAGCAAACAGGAUUAGAUACCCUGGUAGUCCACGCCGUAAACGAUGUCUACUUGGAGGUUGUGGCCUUGAGCCGUGGCUUUCGGAGCUAACGCGUUAAGUAGACCGCCUGGGGAGUACGGUCGCAAGAUUAAAACUCAAAUGAAUUGACGGGGGCCCGCACAAGCGGUGGAGCAUGUGGUUUAAUUCGAUGCAACGCGAAGAACCUUACCUACUCUUGACAUCCAGAGAACUUUCCAGAGAUGGAUUGGUGCCUUCGGGAACUCUGAGACAGGUGCUGCAUGGCUGUCGUCAGCUCGUGUUGUGAAAUGUUGGGUUAAGUCCCGCAACGAGCGCAACCCUUAUCCUUGUUUGCCAGCGAGUAAUGUCGGGAACUCCAGGGAGACUGCCGGUGAUAAACCGGAGGAAGGUGGGGACGACGUCAAGUCAUCAUGGCCCUUACGAGUAGGGCUACACACGUGCUACAAUGGCGCAUACAGAGGGCGGCCAACUUGCGAAAGUGAGCGAAUCCCAAAAAGUGCGUCGUAGUCCGGAUUGGAGUCUGCAACUCGACUCCAUGAAGUCGGAAUCGCUAGUAAUCGUGGAUCAGAAUGCCACGGUGAAUACGUUCCCGGGCCUUGUACACACCGCCCGUCACACCAUGGGAGUGGGCUGCAAAAGAAGUAGGUAGUUUAACCUUCGGG